CUACGGGGGGCAGCAGUGAGGAAUAUUGCACAAUGGGGGGAACCCUGAUGCAGCAACGCCGCGUGGAGGAUGACGCAUUUCGGUGUGUAAACUCCUUUUAUAUGUCAAGAAAAUGACGGUAGCAUAUGAAUAAGCACCGGCUAACUCCGUGCCAGCAGCCGCGGUAAUACGGAGGGUGUAAGCGUUACUCGGAAUCACUGGGGGUAAAGGACGCGUAGGCGGGCUUGUAAGUCAGGUGUGAAAUCCUACAGCUUAACUGUAGAACUGCACUUGAAACUACGAGCCUAGAGUAUGGGAGGGGCAGAUGGAAUUAGUGGUGUAGGGGUAAAAUCCGUAGAUAUCACUAGGAAUACCUAAAGCGAAGGCGAUCUGCUGGAACAUAACUGACGCUAAGGCGUGAAAGCGUGGGGAGCAAACAGGAUUAGAUACCCUCGUAGUC
rnacentral:rRNA from 1 species